rnacentral:pre_miRNA from 1 species
AAUGGGAUUGUUGGGUCAAAUGAUGGUUGCAUUCAAAGUUUUCUAAGUAAUCUCCAUACUGCUUUCCAGAGUGGUUGCACCAAUUUGCAGUCCCACUAGCAAU